rnacentral:rRNA from 1 species
UGGUGGAGUGAUUUGUCUGGUUAAUUCCGUUAACGAACGAGACCUCGACCUACUAAAUAGUUGAGUAAACUCUUCGGGGUUUAUAUUGACUUCUUAGAGGGACUUUUGGUGAGUAGCCAAAGGAAGUUCGAGGCAAUAACA